rnacentral:rRNA from 1 species
UGGGGAAUUUUCCGCAAUGGGCGAAAGCCUGACGGAGCAACGCCGCGUGAGGGAGGAAGGCCUUUGGGUUGUAAACCUCUUUUAACAAGGAAGAAAAAAAUGACGGUACUUGUUGAAUAAGCAUCGGCUAACUCCGUGCCAGCAGCCGCGGUAAUACGGAGGAUGCAAGCGUUAUCCGGAAUGAUUGGGCGUAAAGCGUCCGUAGGUGGUUUCUCAAGUCUGCUGUUAAAGCGUGCAGCUUAACUGCAUCAAGGCAGUGGAAACUGGGAGACUAGAGUUCGGUAGGGGUAGCGGGAAUUCCCAGUGUAGCGGUGAAAUGCGUAGAGAUUGGGAAGAACAUCGGUGGCGAAAGCGCGCUACUGGGCCGAAACUGACACUCACAGGACGAAAGCUAGGGGAG